rfam:Camponotus floridanus CamFlo_1.0_4.contig3934, whole genome shotgun sequence.
CAAUCGGCACUUUUUAGUGCCAUUUUUUUUAUCUUAUAGGAAUUAU